GCCUGGUUGGCUCAGUAGAAAAAGCAUGCAACUCUUGAUCUUAAGGUUGUGAGUUCAAACCCCACACUGGGUG
rnacentral:tRNA from 1 species